rnacentral:rRNA from 1 species
GACGAACGCUGGCGGCGUGCCUAAUACAUGCAAGUCGAACGCUGAAGGAGGAGCUUGCUCUUCUGGAUGAGUUGCGAACGGGUGAGUAACGCGUAGGUAACCUGCCUGGUAGCGGGGGAUAACUAUUGGAAACGAUAGCUAAUACCGCAUAACAGUAGAUGUUGCAUGACAUUUACUUAAAAGGUGCAAUUGCAUCACUACCAGAUGGACCUGCGUUGUAUUAGCUAGUUGGUGGGGUAACGGCUCACCAAGGCGACGAUACAUAGCCGACCUGAGAGGGUGAUCGGCCACACUGGGACUGAGACACGGCCCAGACUCCUACGGGAGGCAGCAGUAGGGAAUCUUCGGCAAUGGACGGAAGUCUGACCGAGCAACGCCGCGUGAGUGAAGAAGGUUUUCGGAUCGUAAAGCUCUGUUGUAAGAGAAGAACGAGUGUGAGAGUGGAAAGUCCACACUGUGACGGUAUCUUACCAGAAAGGGACGGCUAACUACGUG